rnacentral:rRNA from 1 species
AUCGAACGCUGGCGGCAUGCCUAACACAUGCAAGUCGAACGAGUGGCGGACGGGUGAGUAAUGUCUGGGAAACUGCCCGAUGGCGGGGGAUAACUACUGGAAACGGUAGCUAAUACCGCAUACCAUCGGAUGUACCCAGCUGGGAUUGGCUAGUGGGUGGGGUAACAGCUCACCUAGGCGACGAUCCCUAGCUGGUCUGAGAGGAUGACCAGCGACACUGGACCGGAGACGUGGUCAAGAAUCGUACGGAUGGCAGCGGUGGGGAAUAGUGCACAAUGGGCGCACGCCUGAUGCAGCCAUGCCCAGUGGAUGAAAAAGCCCCUGGGGUUGUAAAGUACGUUCAGCGGGGCGGCGGUACUCGCAGAAGAAGCACCGGCUAACUCCGUGCCAGCAGCCGCGGUAAUUC